CACUGGUGGAAAUCUUUUCAACAGAUGCCCGAGGCAAGGAUCCAGCGUCCAGCUGGUUCUCUGUAUUCAAGUUGUACUUUUGGCACUGGCUUGUGGCAGCAAGUGUUCUUAUUGUUUACUUGGCUGUAAUUUAUGGGACAUACGUUCCUGAUUGGAAAUUCACUGUCCUGAACAGCAAUAGUACUGUUGAGAUGACAUAUUGAUCAACAUGGGAGUUGAUUUAUUCAGCAACAGCUGGAACAUUGCUUGAUCAUUCAAAGGGUCAAGGCUAAGAAACCUUCUUGGAAGAUUGGUUCCUCGUUUGCUACCAAGAAGGCCACAAAAAGUUCACCUAAAGUCCAGAUUGAUGCUGAUUUGGACCUGAUAGACGAAGAUAGCCUAAAGUCCAGAUUGAUGCUGAUUUGGACCUGAUUUGGUUCCUCAUUGUAAUUUUUUUUUGUUUUUUUUGAAAUAGUAGCAGCAUUAUAUUAGUUUAAUUAGGUAUAAUGUAUUAUUAUUUAUU